UACGUAGGGUGCGAGCGUUGUCCGGAAUUAUUGGGCGUAAAGAGCUCGUAGGCGGUCUGUCGCGUCUGCUGUGAAAACCUGGGGCUUAACCCCGGGCCUGCAGUGGGUACGGGCAGACUAGAGUGCGGUAGGGGAGACUGGAAUUCCUGGUGUAGCGGUGAAAUGCGCAGAUAUCAGGAGGAACACCAAUUGCGAAGGCAGCUCGCUGGGACGCUACUGACGCUGAGACGCGAAAGCGUGGGGAGCAAACAGG
rnacentral:rRNA from 1 species